rnacentral:rRNA from 1 species
GACGAACGCUGGCGGCGUGCCUAACACAUGCAAGUCAACUUGACUGAAGGAGCAAUCUGACAGUAGAGUGGCGCAAGGGUGCGUAACGCGUAAGUAACUUGCCCAAGGUAAGGAAUAACGUCGAGAAAUCGGCGCUAAUACCUCAUAAUGCAGCGGAUCCGCAUGGAUAUGUUGUUAAAGGUUUACCGCCUUGGGAUAGGCUUGCGUCUGAUUAGCUAGUUGGUGUGGUAACGGCACACCAAGGCUACGAUCAGUAACUGGUCUGAGAGGAUGAUCAGUCACACUGGAACUGAGACACGGUCCAGACUCCUACGGGAGGCAGCAGUGAGGAAUAUUGGGCAAUGCUCGAAAGAGUGACCCAGCAACGCCGCGUGGAGGAUGAAGGUAUUCUAUAUCGUAAACUCCUGUGAGAGCAGACGAAAGACAGAUUAUUAAUCUGGAUGACUGUAUGCUCAGAGG